rnacentral:rRNA from 1 species
AUUGAACGCUGGCGGCAUGCCUUACACAUGCAAGUCGAACGGCAGCAUGAUCUAGCUUGCUAGAUUGAUGGCGAGUGGCGAACGGGUGAGUAAUACAUCGGAACGUGCCCUGUAGUGGGGGAUAACUAGUCGAAAGAUUAGCUAAUACCGCAUACGACCUGAGGGUGAAAGUGGGGGACCGCAAGGCCUCAUGCUAUAGGAGCGGCCGAUGUCUGAUUAGCUAGUUGGUGAGGUAAAGGCUCACCAAGGCGACGAUCAGUAGCUGGUCUGAGAGGACGAUCAGCCACACUGGGACUGAGACGCGGCCCAGACUCCUACGGGAGGCAGCAGUGGGGAAUUUUGGACAAUGGGCGAAAGCCUGAUCCAGCAAUGCCGCGUGUGUGAAGAAGGCCUUCGGGUUGUAAAGCACUUUUGUCCGGAAAGAAAUGGCUCUGGUUAAUACCUGGGGUCGAUGACGGUACCGGAAGAAUAAGAACCGGCUAACUACGUG